UACGGAGGAUCCAAGCGUUAUCCGGAUUUAUUGGGUUUAAAGGGUGCGUAGGCGGCUCAUUAAGUCAGGGGUGAAAGACGGUAGCUUAACUAUCGCAGUGCCUUUGAUACUGAUGAGCUUGAAUGUAGUUGAGGUAGGCGGAAUGUGACAAGUAGCGGUGAAAUGCAUAGAUAUGUCACAGAACACCAAUUGCGAAGGCAGCUUACUAAAGUAUGAUUGACGCUGAGGAACGAAAGCUAGGGGAGCAAACAGG
rnacentral:rRNA from 1 species